rnacentral:rRNA from 1 species
UACGGGGGGGGCAAGCGUUGUUCGGAAUUACUGGGCGUAGAGGGCGCGUAGGCGGUUCGCUAAGUUGGAUGUGAAAACUCUGGGCUCAACCCAGAGCCUGCAUCCAAAACUGGCGGGCUAGAGUUCUGGAGGGGGUAGCGGAAUUCCUGGUGUAGCGGUGAAAUGCGUAGAUAUCAGGAGGAACACCGGUGGCGAAGGCGGCUACCUGGACAGAAACUGACGCUGAGGCGCGAAAGCUAGGGGAGCAAACAGG